GAUGAACGCUGGCGGCGUGCCUAAUACAUGCAAGUCGAGCGAACGGACGAGAAGCUUGCUUCUCUGAUGUUAGCGGCGGACGGGUGAGUAACACGUGGAUAACCUACCUAUAAGACUGGGAUAACUUCGGGAAACCGGAGCUAAUACCGGAUAAUAUUUUGAACCGCAUGGUUCAAAAGUGAAAGACGGUCUUGCUGUCACUUAUAGAUGGAUCCGCGCUGCAUUAGCUAGUUGGUAAGGUAACGGCUUACCAAGGCAACGAUGCAUAGCCGACCUGAGAGGGUGAUCGGCCACACUGGAACUGAGACACGGUCCAGACUCCUACGGGAGGCAGCAGUAGGGAAUCUUCCGCAAUGGGCGAAAGCCUGACGGAGCAACGCCGCGUGAGUGAUGAAGGUCUUCGGAUCGUAAAACUCUGUUAUUAGGGAAGAACAUAUGUGUAAGUAACUGUGCACAUCUUGACGGUACCUAAUCAGAAAGCCACGGCUAACUACGUGCCAGCAGCCGCGGUAAUACGUAGGUGGCAAGCGUUAUCCGGAAUUUAUGGGCGUAAAGCGCGCGUAGCGGUUUUUUAGUCUGAUGUGAAAGCCCACGGCUCAACCGUGGAGGGUCAUUGGAAACUGGAAAACUUGAGUGCAGAAGAGGAAAGUGGAAUUCCAUGUGUAGCGGUGAAAUGCGCAGAGAUAUGGAGGAACACCAGUGGCGAAGGCGACUUUCUGGUCUGUAACUGACGCUGAUGUGCGAAAGCGUGGGGAUCAAACAGGAUUAGAUACCCUGGUAGUCCACGCCGUAAACGAUGAGUGCUAAGUGUUAGGGGGUUUCCGCCCCUUAGUGCUGCAGCUAACGCAUUAAGCACUCCGCCUGGGGAGUACGACCGCAAGGUUGAAACUCAAAGGAAUUGACGGGGACCCGCACAAGCGGUGGAGCAUGUGGUUUAAUUCGAAGCAACGCGAAGAACCUUACCAAAUCUUGACAUCCUUUGACAACUCUAGAGAUAGAGCUUUCCCCUUCGGGGGACAAAGUGACAGGUGGUGCAUGGUUGUCGUCAGCUCGUGUCGUGAGAUGUUGGGUUAAGUCCCGCAACGAGCGCAACCCUUAAGCUUAGUUGCCAUCAUUAAGUUGGGCACUCUAAGUUGACUGCCGGUGACAAACCGGAGGAAGGUGGGGAUGACGUCAAAUCAUCAUGCCCCUUAUGAUUUGGGCUACACACGUGCUACAAUGGGCAAUACAAAGGGCAGCGAAACCGUGAGGUCAAGCAAAUCCCAUAAAGUUGUUCUCAGUUCGGAUUGUAGUCUGCAACUCGACUACAUGAAGCUGGAAUCGCUAGUAAUCGUAGAUCAGCAUGCUACGGUGAAUACGUUCCCGGGUCU
rnacentral:rRNA from 1 species